AGUUCAUGGGGAUUCUCUACAUAAAAACUGAAACCGAGAUCGCUUUCUCCGCUCAAUGGCGCGCCGGUAAUCUUCGGAUACGCUGGAUUACAAAGACGGGGGGCCCUCAAAUCCUAUCUUUACAGGAGUUUCAUCGCAUCGACAGUGCGACCUU
rnacentral:sRNA from 1 species